rnacentral:lncRNA from 1 species
AGCCAUUCUUAAAUUAACAAAGAAUACAGAAUCAAGAUAGUGUGUCAACAGAAGUGUUGUAUUAAAGCUAUCAGCCCCAGAAAACAGAAAACACAAAGUGAAUUCGUGCAACCACUUUACACUACUGCAGCACACAGCUACCAAUGUAUUCCUAUCUUUUUCCUACUAAAAACACUGACAUUAAACAGGGGUGGUGAUGGGGUAGCUAAUCCAGGACCACCUUUGCAUGAACUGAGGGGGAAAGCUACAAUUCCUCAUUGUUUGCUAAGCCCAGGAACAAGAACAGUCAAGGCAAAUGCCCUUCUUUCUGAAUCCGCAGUCUCUCCUUCUCCACCUGCAAGCGCUCCUUUUCUAUCUGCAGCUUCUCUGAUUCAAACUUCAAAAAUUGCAGCCGAUCUUUUUCCAGCUGUAGACGUUCGCGCUCAAGUUUCAGCUUCUCUGCUUCGAUGUCCUGUGGCUGCAGCAUGGACUUCUCGCCCUGGCCCAGCUCGUUCUCUAGAGCCGGUUUCUCGGUGCUGACCAGCUGCAGCCUCCACUUUUCUCUCUCGAUCUGCAGCCUCUCCUUCUCCAGCUGUAAGCGCUCGUGCUCCAGGUCCAGGUGGCGCAGGCGCUCUUUCUCUAUCUGCAGCCGCUCCUUUUCCACCUGCAGCCUUUCCGCCUCAAUAUCAAGUCGGCGUUUUUCCAGCUCCAGCUUCUGUUUCUCUAUGUUCAUGAGCAGAUGGGGCUCAUCAUAGGUGGGUCUGGAUGGUGUGGAAUUGAGGGUGAAAAACUCAUCAAUGUGAGGGAAGUCAGGGAGCUCGUUUUCCCUCCUGGAAUCUGGUAUGACAGAUGACAGCAUCUCUUCCUCCUCCUCAAUCUCAAAC